rnacentral:lncRNA from 1 species
CCUCGAGAACGGCCACUGUCUCGGUCAUAAAGAACCCGAGCGUCUACUACUUUACCAUGUUCACUAAAGAGUUGCUCCAAGCGUCCAUUGUCUACAUCCCAUGGAAGAUUGCCUACAUAGAUUCUGAAAGUGGGUUGGAAUGGUCGAGGUUCGCGUUCUUGCCUUGAACCUCUUGGAGCAGCCUUAUUAACAGUCAAUAGCCUCCCGGAUAAAUCCUAUAAACCCAGAAAAGCACAUUUUAUUCCCAUAAAUUUUUCGGUAGAACUGAGAAUGGAAAAGUUUAAACAAAGUACCAAGUAAAAGUGAAGGGAUAUCUCAAACAAAGAAAACAAACAAUUACAUAUGUUAGAAAUACUCUAUUCUACACAAGGACAUGGCCUCUAGAGCUUAUCCAGAUAGAAAAAUCAAUCUCAUCAUCAAACAUUCAAACAAACAAAUCAUUACAGCUAUGGAUAUGUAAGGAUUGACUAGAGAAAAUAAGCUUUAAAAGCUGGUAGCCACACACUAAAAAAUAACUUAUUUCAAAAGUACACACGGAAAGAAAAUUGAACAAAUUCACCUUUCGUCCUAAUGGCUAAGUCCUACACUAACAAGUCCUCAGAUUCAUGAAAACCAGACCAUUUAAACUCUUCAGAAUAAAAUGAAAUGGUUAAAUGCAAAGAUAUACUGGCAGUAAAUGCUUCCAUUGUGAAGCAAGAAUGAAGAUAAGGUUUCAUUCAUGAUACUCAAAUAUGGCUGAAUCUUGUCUACAGAAGCUUACAUAACGGUUGAAGGUAUCCACAGCUUUCUCGGCUUCUUCAACAGUACUCAUUGUCACAAACCCAAAACCACGACUCCGAUCUGUUUCUCUGUUGUAAAUAACCUACAAAUAACAAGCAGAUUAAAAGCUUAAACCAAAUCCAUAAACAGAACAGACAGCAAUAGUGUAACUAAAGCUCACCUCAGCAAUCUCCACGGUUCCAGCCUUCUCAAAGAGCAUUGCUAACUUUUCACUGUCAAUAUCAUAAGGCAAAUUCCCAACAAACAAUUUAGCAUCUUCGUUUGGCUCUUCAUAAGGUCCUUGUUCCCCUUCUUCGUCUUCUUCUUCAUCUCCUCCUACUUCAGCCUCACUUCCUCCAUCUUCACCUUCACCUUCCCAAUCAGAAAUACGAGACUCAGUUUCACUGAGCUCUUCAUUUUCCCAAUGGGGGCCGCCUUCUUCUCCC